CCUACGGGGGGCAGCAGUGGGGAAUAUUGCACAAUGGGCGCAAGCCUGAUGCAGCCAUGCCGCGUGUGUGAAGAAGGCCUUCGGGUUGUAAAGCACUUUCAGCGGGGAGGAAGGCGGUGAGGUUAAUAACCUUGGCGAUUGACGUUACCCGCAGAAGAAGCACCGGCUAACUCCGUGCCAGCAGCCGCGGUAAUACGGAGGGUGCAAGCGUUAAUCGGAAUUACUGGGCGUAAAGCGCACGCAGGCGGUCUGUCAAGUCGGAUGUGAAAUCCCCGGGCUCAACCUGGGAACUGCAUUCGAAACUGGCAGGCUAGAGUCUUGUAGAGGGGGGUAGAAUUCCAGGUGUAGCGGUGAAAUGCGUAGAGAUCUGGAGGAAUACCGGUGGCGAAGGCGGCCCCCUGGACAAAGACUGACGCUCAGGUGCGAAAGCGUGGGGAGCAAACAGGAUUAGAUACCCGUGUAGUC
rnacentral:rRNA from 1 species